GUUUAUAUUGCAAAUGCGGCAAUGAAUGCGACUCGAAUCAUAACUGGAACAGGAACUUGCUGCUAUUAAAAUUUAUGAAUAAAAUAUUCUAAAUACUGAAAAUUAUUAGGAUAAUAUUUGUGUAUAUGUAAGAGAAUAAAUUGGUGACUUCUUCAGAAAUAUAAGGGAAUAUUCGAAAUAUUAUGUGAACUUGCUGCUAUUAAAAUUUAUGAAUAAAAUAUUCUAAAUACUGAAAAUUAUUAGUAUAAUAUAUGUAUAUAUGUAAGAGAAUAAAUUGGUGAGUUCUUCAGAAAUAUAAGGGAGUAUUCG